rnacentral:ncRNA from 1 species
CCUGCGAAACCAAAGCAUAUAAAUUAGCGAAAGAAAAGAAGCCAGCAGGUAUUGCCUCAGUAACGGUGAGUGAAGCGGCAAAAGCUCAAAUUUGAAAUCCUCAGGGAAUUGGAACUUGAAGGUGGCCUCAGAUAGUUCAAACAUUCUUAAGUCCAUUGGAUAAUGAGACCAUGGAGGGUGAUAGCCCCGUAAAGAAUCUUUUUGCUCUAUUUUCUUUGAACACCAAAGAGUCGAGUUGAAAGGUACCAGAAAAAUCCCACAAAUGAGCCAGAAACGGGCCAGAAAGACCCAAAAAAGGCUUUAAC